GACGAACCGUGCGAACGUUAUUCGGAAUCACUGGGCUUAAAGGCGCGUAGGCGGGCUGUCAAGUUUGGGGUGAAAUCCCGCGGCUCAACCGUGGAACUGCCUCAAAUACUGACGGCCUCGAGGAAGGUAGGGGCAUGCGGAACUGUAGGUGGAGCGGUGAAAUGCGUUGAUAUCUACAGGAACUCCGGUGGCGAAAGCGGCGUGCUGGACCUUUUCUGACGCUGAGGCGCGAAAGCUAGGGGAGCAAACGGG
rnacentral:rRNA from 1 species